rnacentral:rRNA from 1 species
UUUUAGAAUUUAAUUUAAAGUCUAACCUGCCCACUGAAUAAUUUUAAAUGGCCGCAGUAUUUUAACUGUGCAAAGGUAGCAUAAUCAUUAGUCUUUUAAUUGAAGGCUGGAAUGAAUGGUUGAAUGAAAUAUUAACUGUUUCAUAAAAAUUUUAUAUAAAAUUUUAUUUUUUAGUUAAAAAGCUAAAAUAUUAUUAAAAGACGAGAAGACCCUAUAAAUCUUUAUAUUUUAUUAAUUUUAAUUAUAUAGAUAAAUUAAAUUAUAAUUUAAAUAAAUAUUUUAUUGGGGUGAUAUUAAAAUUUAAUAAACUUUUAAUUUUUAAUAAACAUUAAUUAAUGAAUUAUUGAUCCAUUAAUAUGAUUAAAAAAUUAAGUUACUUUAGGGAUAACAGCGUAAUUUUUUUAGAGAGUUCAUAUUGAUAAAAA